rnacentral:rRNA from 1 species
CAGCCGCCACGGUAAUACAGAGGGUGCGAGCGUUAAUCGGAUUUACUGGGCGUAAAGCGUGCGUAGGCGGCUUUUUAAGUCGGAUGUGAAAUCCCUGAGCUUAACUUAGGAAUUGCAUUCGAUACUGGUUAGCUAGAGUGUGGGAGAGGAUGGUAGAAUUCCAGGUGUAGCGGUGAAAUGCGUAGAGAUCUGGAGGAAUACCGAUGGCGAAGGCAGCCAUCUGGCCUAACACUGACGCUGAGGUACGAAAGCAUGGGGAGCAAACAGGAUUAGAUACCCCGGUAGUCCCUGUCUCUUAUAC